GACGAACCGUCCAAACGUUGUUCGGAAUCACUGGGCUUAAAGGGCGCGUAGGCGGGCUAUCAAGUCCGGGGUGAAAUCCUCCAGCUUAACUGGAGAACGGCCUCGGAUACUGAUGGUCUCGAGGGGGGUAGGGGCACGCGGAACUGUGGGUGGAGCGGUGAAAUGCGUUGAUAUCCAUAGGAACUCCGGUGGCGAAGGCGGCGUGCUGGACCUCUUCUGACGCUGAGGCGCGAAAGCCAGGGGAGCAAACGGG
rnacentral:rRNA from 2 species